AGUAGUCAUAUGCUUGUCUCAAAGACUAAGCCAUGCAUGUCUAAGUUUAAGCGAUUUAAACGGUGAGACUGCGGACGGCUCAUUAUAUCAGUUAUAGUUUAUUUGAUGGUCGAUUACUACAAGGAUAACCGUAGGAAUUCUAGAGCUAAUACUUGCACUUCAAAGGAGUCUUCUCUUUGCACUUAUUAGAUUUACCACCAAUGCUCUCCGGAGCUUCGGUGAUUCAUAGUAAUUUAGCGGAUCGCUACGGCUUCGGCCGCGACGCUUCAUUCAAAUUUCUGCCCUAUCAGCUUUCGAUGGUAGUGUAUUGGACUACCAUGGCUUUGACGGGUAACGGAGAAUUAGGGUUCGAUUCCGGAGAGGGAGCCUGAGAAACGGCUACCACAUCUAAGGAAGGCAGCAGGCGCGCAAAUUACCCAAUCCCAACGCGGGGAGGUAGUGACAAGAAAUAACAACAACUAACCUAUUUCAGGUGAGUUGAUUGGAAUGAGUACAAUCUAAACACCUUAACGACUAUCCAUUGGAGGGCAAGCCUGGUGCCAGCAGCCGCGGUAAUUCCAGCUCCAAUAGCGUAUACUAAUGUUGUUGCAGUUAAAAAGCUCGUAGUCGGAUUUCAGUAGGCUCAGUUAAGUUUCAAUCAUGAUUUCUUUAUGGGCCUGCUUCUUUGACAGAAACUUCUAUGUUAUUCAUUUAGCGUGGGUAGCGACUGUCUCUUUUACUUUGAGAAAAUUAGAGUGUUCAAAGCAGGUGUUCGCCUGAAUAUUACUCUUGGAAUAAUGCUAUAAGACUUUGGUUCUAAUGUAUUGGUGAUUGGGACCAGAGUAAUGAUUG
rnacentral:rRNA from 1 species